rnacentral:rRNA from 1 species
AAUCCAGACCCCACGGGGUGCAGCAGGCGCGAAAACUUGGCAAUGCGAGAAAUCGUGACCAGGGAANUCCAAGUGCGUAGGGUAAGANNACGCUUUUCUUGACUCUAAAAAGGUCUUGGAAUAAGGGGUGGGUAAGGACGGUGCCAGCCGCCGCGGUAAUACCGGCGCCUCAAGUGGUAGUCGCUUUUAUUGGGCCUAAAACGUCCGUAGCCGGUCUGGUGCAUUCGUGGGUAAAUCAACCCGCUCAACGGGUUGAAUUCUGCGAGCACGGCCAGACUUGGGACCGGGAGAGGUGUGGGGUACUUUCGGGGUAGGGGUAAAAUCCUGUCAUCCCGAAAGGACCACCUGUUGCGAAGGCGCCACACUAGAACGGAUCCGACGGUCAGGGACGAAACCUAGGGGCACGAACCGGAUUAGAUACCCGGGUAGUCCUAGGUGUAAACGCUGUGGACUUGAUGUUGGGGGUGCUCCGAGCUCCCUCAGUGUCGAAGCGAAGGUGAUAAGUCCACUGCCUGGGGAGUACGGUCGCAAGGCUGAAACUUAAAGGAAUUGGCGGGGGAGCACUGCAACCUGAGGAUUGUGCGGUUUAAUUGGAUUCAACGCCGGAAAACUCACCAUGGCCGACGGACAAAUGAAGGCCAGCGUAACGAGCUUGCUGGAUUGUUCGAGAGGUAUUGCAUGGCCGUCGUCAGUUCGUACCGCAAGGCGUUCUGUUAAGUCAGAUAACGAACGAGACCCUCAUCCCUAUUUGCCAGCUGCGUCGCAAGAUUCAGCGCACUAUAGGGAGACCGCUGUCGAUAAGGCAGAUGAAGGCGAGGGCAACGGUAGGUCAGUAUGAUCCGAAUGCCAUGGGCUACACGCGCAAUACAAAGGACGGGACAAUGGGCUGCAACUCCGAGAGGAACGACGCUAUCCCGAAACCCGUUCGUAGUUCGGAUUGAGGGCUGUAACUCGCCCUCAUGAAGCUGGAUUAGGUAGUAAUCGCGUCUCAAUAGGGCGCGGUGAAUAUGCCCCUGCUCCUUGCACACACCGCCCGUCAAACCAUCUUAGUUGGGGGUGGGUGAGGCUGCGUUUUAUGGCGUAUUCNAGCCUGC